rnacentral:rRNA from 1 species
UACGGAGGAUCCAAGCGUUAUCCGGAUUUAUUGGGUUUAAAGGGUGCGUAGGCGGAUUGAUAAGUUAGAGGUGAAAUGUCCGCGCUCAACUCGGGAACUGCCUCUAAUACUGUUGAUCUAGAGAGUAGAUGCGGUAGGCGGAAUGUAUGGUGUAGCGGUGAAAUGCUUAGAGAUCAUACAGAACACCGAUUGCGAAGGCAGCUUACCAAUCUAUAUCUGACGUUGAGGCACGAAAGCGUGGGGAGCAAACAGG